rnacentral:rRNA from 1 species
ACGGGAGGCAGCAGUGGGGAAUAUUGCACAAUGGGCGAAAGCCUGAUGCAGCGACGCCGCGUGAGGGAUGACGGCCUUCGGGUUGUAAACCUCUUUCAGCAGGGAAGAAGCGAGAGUGACGGUACCUGCAGAAGAAGCGCCGGCUAACUACGUGCCAGCAGCCGCGGUAAUACGUAGGGCGCAAGCGUUGUCCGGAAUUAUUGGGCGUAAAGAGCUCGUAGGCGGCUUGUCGCGUCGGAUGUGAAAGCCCGGGGCUUAACCCCGGGUCUGCAUUCGAUACGGGCAGGCUAGAGUUCGGUAGGGGAGAUCGGAAUUCCUGGUGUAGCGGUGAAAUGCGCAGAUAUCAGGAGGAACACCGGUGGCGAAGGCGGAUCUCUGGGCCGAUACUGACGCUGAGGAGCGAAAGCGUGGGGAGCGAACAGGAUUAGAUACCCUGGUAGUCCACGCCGUAAACGUUGGGAACUAGGUGUGGGCGACAUUCCACGUCGUCCGCGCCGCAGCUAACGCAUUAAGUUCCCCGCCUGGGGAGUACGGCCGCAAGGCUAAAACUCAAAGGAAUUGACGGGGGCCCGCACAAGCGGCGGAGCAUGUGGCUUAAUUCGACGCAACGCGAAGAACCUUACCAAGGCUUGACAUACACCGGAAACCUCUGGAGACAGGGGCCCCCUUGUG